ACUGAAUAUUUCGAGAUAGGUGCCCUAAGGGGCUUAAUAGGGAAGUCCGGUUAAAUGCCGGCGCGGUCCCGCCACUGUAACGGGGAGCAAGCUUAAGAUAUGCCACUGGGAUGAUAAGUCUUGGGAAGGUUUAAGCAAGCAAAGAUCCGGAGUCAGGAGAACUGCCUGUCUGACAAUCACCGU
rnacentral:ncRNA from 1 species